rnacentral:rRNA from 1 species
GUCUGUAGGUGGUUUGUUAAGUUGAAUGUUAAAUUUAUGGGCUCAACUCAUAAACUGCAUUCAAUACUGGCAGACUUGAGGAAGGAAGAGGUAAGCGGAAUUACCGGUGGAGCGGUGGAAUGCGUAGAUAUCGGUAGGAACACCAAUGGCGAAGGCAGCUUACUGGGCCUCUCCUGACACUGAGAGACGAAAGCGUGGGGAGCGAACGGAAUUAGAUACUCCGGUAGUCCACGCCGUAAACGAUGAUCACUAGCUGUUCGAGGUGUCGACCCCUUGAGUAGCGAAGCUAACGCGUUAAGUGAUCCGCCUGGGGAGUACGGUCGCAAGACUAAA